rnacentral:rRNA from 1 species
GACGAACGCUGGCGGCGUGCCUAAUACAUGCAAGUUGAGCGCUGAAGGUUGGUACUUGUACCAACUGGAUGAGCAGCGAACGGGUGAGUAACGCGUGGGUAAUCUGCCUUUGAGCGGGGGACAACAUUUGGAAACGAAUGCUAAUACCGCAUAAAAACUUUAAACACAAGUUUUAAGUUUGAAAGAUGCAAUUGCAUCACUCAAAGAUGAUCCCGCGUUGUAUUAGCUAGUUGGUGAGGUAAAGGCUCACCAAGGCGAUGAUACAUAGCCGACCUGAGAGGGGGAGCGGCCACAUUGGGACUGAGACACGGCCCAACCCCCUACGGGAGGCAGCAGUAGGGAAUCUUCGGAAAUGGACGAAAGUCUGACCGAGCAACGCCGCGUGAGUGAAGAAGGUUUUCGGAUCGUAAAACUCUGUUGGUAGAGAAGAACGUUGGUGAGAGUGGAAAGCUCAUCAAGUGACGGUAACUACCCAGAAAGGGACGGCUAACUACGUG